rnacentral:ncRNA from 1 species
UAAGCCCUGCACGUUGCGAAGUCCCAAGUUCCACUUGGGAUACGAAAUUCCGGAAAUUUUCAUAGCAACUGCGGGGCUUU